rnacentral:rRNA from 1 species
AUUGAACGCUGGCGGCAGGCCUAACACAUGCAAGUCGAACGAGUGGCGGACGGGUGAGUAAUGUCUGGGAAACUGCCCGAUGGAGGGGGAUAACUACUGGAAACGGUAGCUAAUACCGCAUACCAUCAGAUGUGCCCAGAUGGGACUAGCUGGUGGGUGGGGUAACGGCUCACCAAGGCGACGAUCCCUAGCUGGUCUGAGAGGAUGACCGACCACACUGGAACUGGAACGCGGUCCAGACUCCUACGGUAGGCGGCAGGGGGGAAUAUUGCACAAUGGGCGCAAGCCUGAUGCAGCCAUGCCGCGUGUGUGAGGAGGGCCUUCGGGUUGUAAAGUACUUUCAACGGGAAGACGUUACCCGCAGAAGAAGCACCGGCUAACUCCGUGCCAGCAGCCGCGGUAAUAC